UACGUAGGGGGCAAGCGUUGUCCGGAUUUAUUGGGCGUAAAGAGCGUGUAGGCGGCCACACAGGUCAGCUGUGAAAACUCGAGGCUCAACCUCGAGACGUCGGCUGAAACCGUAUGGCUAGAGUCCGGAAGAGGAGAGUGGAAUUCCCGGUGUAGCGGUGAAAUGCGCAGAUAUCGGGAAGAACACCCGUGGCGAAGGCGGCUCUCUGGGACGGUACUGACGCUGAGACGCGAAAGCGUGGGGAGCGAACAGG
rnacentral:rRNA from 1 species